UUUUGUUUUCAUUUGUUUUUGAGAGCUUUGCCCACACCAACCGGGGCUUUGAUUUCCUAAAACUAUCGCUAGAUUGCAAUAUCUCCCUCCCUCGAGUUGUAAUCUCACUGAUGUUCUGGGGAAAUGGGUCACAGGGGGCACAUCAGAAGACCUCUGGUUGCAAGGAGCUUGUUGCAUUGAGAGGGACACGUGCCAUGUCAUUCCCCAUAACUCGAAACCUGAAGGGAGCAAGAGACAACCUCUUUCAGGAAAGCACAUGUCACCUUAGCAACCUUGAGAAUAUCUGGCAAGCACCCCAAAGGUGACAGUUGUCAACUUUAAAAGACACCGUUUCAUUCCCAGUCAUUACUAAAGAAACCCACUGUCACUCGGUGUGCUCUCCUAAGGACUGACUUCCCACUCAAAUCUUAGUGUCUAGUCCUCCUACGCCACCCCAAGUUCUUGACCCCCACCUUCCCUGAAGCAUGAACAGAACCUGGAGUUCCUUUGCUGAAGCCAGCAACUCAGAAGCACUAAGGUUCCAUCCCUGGGAGGCAACUUUGAGAGAGCAUUCUGGAAGGCUUUUUCAUUCCUUUUCUCCCCUGUUUUAACAUGGACUUUGUCUUCUCUGACACCUUGUAACUUUCCCUGUAUCAUGCUUUUGAGUGUAAUAAUCUUUAUGAUUUCUAAAAGAAAUUUAGUACCUGUUGCAAAGGUCUUUUUAAACCACCUUAGAUUUAAAGAAAAAAUGGUAAUCAUUGAAAAUUCAUUUCACAUUAGUGGUCUGGAAAUAAAACCAAAGGACAUUCUGUGUGUGCGUAUGCAUAAAUGCACACAGAAAUAUAUAUAUACAUAUGUAGACUAUAUACAUGUGUAUAUGUGUGUAUAUAUACUUGUAUAAAUGUACAUACACACAUAUACCUAAAUAUGUGUGUAUUCUGUAUGUAUUGAAGACACAGACGCCAUAUACAUCUCUAAAGGAGUAUUCAGAAAAUAUCAAAGUGAUUCCGGCUGAGUAGAAAGCCGGUAGAGAUUCAGGUGAAAUGUUUGUUCAUUCCUUCCCAUAUGGCACCUCUGUAAUUUUGAAGCUCUCUGUAUAAACAUUAAAUGUCUUAUAUCAGCAGCAGAAAUAUAAAAUAGCUGUCCAUAUUUUCACAUUUGUGGUACAAUUUAUGAAAAUAGAGAGUAACUUAUCUGCUUCUUAAUAGAAAUGGCAAGUUUUGAUAUGAGUAUAUAGUAUAUAAAGAUAUAUAGUGCUAAAUAUAAAUAUUUGGUCUCUAUUUCAUUGUUGGCAUCAGUAUUAACACCAACUGUCUAGCUAGUGAUGUUUUAUAUGAUGCCCCUGAGUCUGAUGCAAGAGACAGUCAUUUAUUUUAAAGACUGAAAGCAAGUGAAUAACAAUCAGGUUAACGUUGUUACUCCCUGUGACAAAAAUUUUUAAGUAAAUUAAAAAAUAUAUAUGUUGUAAAUUAGGAGGCUCAACAAUAAAAUAUACCUUCUGGAAAAGA
rnacentral:lncRNA from 1 species